rnacentral:sRNA from 1 species
GACGGGUUUGGCGGUGCACUCCUGUAAUCCCAGCGGCUUGGGAGGCUGAGGCAGGAGGAUCACAAGUGCAAAGCCAGCCUCAGCAAAAGCAAGGCACUAAGCAACUCAGUGAGACCUUGUCUCUA